rnacentral:tRNA from 1 species
GGAGGGAUGCGAGAGCGGCCGAAUCGGCACGCCUGGAGAGCGUGUGUCCCGCAAGGGACCGUGGGUUCAAAUCCCACUCCCUCCG